AAGAUGCUUAAAAUACUGCCUGCCACAUAAUAAAUGCCCCAUAAGCUGUCAUUGUCAUCAUCAACUCACUGCAUAUUGACAAUUCCUUAUAGUAGAAAUCUCAUCUGGUAUACCGCUUACUAACAGUUUUAUCAAGAACAACCAUUCUGUCUCAUACCUUCAUCCUUUAUUAUUAUACUACUACUAAUAUAAUAUAGAAUAUACUGAUAAUCUUCUCUAAAUAAAUUAAGAUUCAGACUUUGUAAUACUAUUGCCCUGAAAUGUAAUGCUAAAAAAAAAAAAC
rnacentral:lncRNA from 1 species